UCUUCUUCUCCUUUGUUGAGCUUUCUCAUGAUAGAAGCCGGCAUAAUAUUUACAAUAGCUCCAUUUUAUAUUAACACUUGUCUUAUUGGUCUACUAAAUAUAUGGGUAUUAAGAUACAAGGGUUGAUGUACUUGCCUAUCUCCUAUGUUAGUUUUUGAAACACAUUCAUGAUGGCUUUAGUAGGCUGGUCGUUAGCAACAUCUUUCUAGUAUGUUGAGUAGAAGUCGUUCUUCUCCUCAGCCUCUAAACUAGCCA
rnacentral:lncRNA from 1 species